CGGAGCCAGGCAGGGGCACGUGAUUCGCCGGAGACUGGUGUGCCGGACCCCGGCCACCGUGUCGGCUCCUGGCUAUCGCGUUACCGGACGUCCCCUGAAGAGCUGCCAUGUCUGGGAAUUCUGCCCCUUCCUCAGAACAGAACAACAACAACUAUGAAACCAAAACAAAUCUCCGAAUGUCAGAGAAGAAAUGUUCGUGGGCAUCCUACAUGACCAACUCCCCAACCCUCAUUGUUAUGAUUGGCUUACCAGCCCGGGGCAAAACCUACGUGUCCAAGAAGCUCACACGCUACCUCAACUGGAUUGGGGUGCCCACCAAAGUGUUUAAUCUUGGGGUGUAUCGGCGUCAAGCGGUCAAGUCCUAUAAGUCCUAUGACUUCUUCCGGCAUGACAACGAGGAGGCCAUGAAGAUACGCAAACAGUGUGCUCUGGUGGCGCUGGAGGAUGUGAAGGCGUAUCUCACAGAGGACAGUGGGCAGAUUGCGGUGUUUGAUGCUACCAAUACCACUCGAGAGAGGAGGGCCUUGAUUUUGAACUUUGCCGAGGAGAAUUCCUUCAAGGUGUUCUUUGUGGAAUCCGUCUGCGAUGAUCCCGAUGUCAUUGCUGCCAACAUCCUGGAGGUAAAGGUGUCGAGCCCUGACUACCCUGAAAGGAACAGGGAGAAUGUGAUGGAGGACUUCCUAAAGAGAAUUGAGUGCUACAAAGUCACCUAUCAACCCCUUGACCCAGACAACUAUGACAAGGAUCUUUCUUUCAUCAAGGUGAUAAACGUGGGCCAGCGAUUUCUAGUGAACAAAGUCCAGGACUACAUCCAGAGCAAGAUCGUCUACUACCUCAUGAAUAUCCAUGUCCAUCCUCGCACCAUUUACCUUUGCCGGCACGGAGAGAGCGAGUUCAAUCUCUUGGGGAAGAUUGGGGGUGACUCAGGCCUCUCGGUGCGGGGAAAACAGUUUGCCCAGGCUCUAAGGAAGUUUCUGGAGGAACAGGAGAUAGCAGACCUCAAAGUGUGGACAAGUCAGUUGAAGAGGACUAUCCAGACCGCUGAAUCUCUGGGGGUGACCUAUGAGCAGUGGAAGAUUCUGAAUGAGAUUGAUGCUGGCGUGUGCGAGGAGAUGACUUAUGCGGAGAUAAAGGAGCAGUACCCAGACGAGUUUGCGCUUCGAGAUGAAGAGAAAUAUCUGUAUCGAUAUCCUGGAGGGGAGUCGUACCAGGACCUGGUGCAGCGGCUGGAGCCUGUCAUCAUGGAGCUGGAGCGUCAGGGCAACGUCCUCGUCAUCUCCCACCAGGCUGUCAUGCGCUGCCUCCUGGCCUACUUCUUGGACAAGGGUGCAGAUGAGCUACCGUACCUGAGGUGCCCUCUCCAUACCAUCUUCAAACUUACUCCUGUGGCCUACGGGUGCAAAGUGGAAACAAUUAAACUUAACGUGGAGGCUGUGAACACUCACCGUGACAAGCCAACUAACAACUUCCCCAAGAACCAAACCCCUGUAAGGAUGAGAAGGAACAGCUUUACGCCUCUGUCCAGUUCGAAUACAGUAAGGCGUCCAAGAAAUUACAGUGUUGGGAGCCGGCCCCUCAAGCCCCUCAGCCCUCUCCGUGCCCUGGACAUGCAAGAAGGGGCCGACCAGCCGAAGACCCAAGUCAGCAUUCCGGUGGUGUAACCUUGUGUCUCCCUCCCGUCCUGGCCUCCUGCCCUUGUCACUAAUCACCAAGGAGUCAUUUAACUUCCAACUCCCACCCCCCCACCCCCGCCCCAGCCCCACACCAUGGGUCUUAGCAGAGAAUGUGAGGUCAUGUGUUUCCAGACCAACCUUAGCUAGUGUAGGGUGUGAGACAUCUCCCUGCCCAGGGGCAAGCUGGCGAGUUGGGUGUUUUAGGACAGGUCCUCAGUUGGGGGUGUCUGGAGGAGGAGGAAAAGGGAUCCACUCUCCUGGGGUGAUUGGCAGAGCUGGGGCUGAGGCUUAGCUGUGGUUCCUGUCUGACCACGGUGUCUAAACUCACUAAUGUCCUUGUGUUGGUAAAGUGGGGGCAGGGUGGAGGGGGACACAGAAGCCCAUUUCCCUUCCACCUUUGUCUCUUCCAGGUGUGCUUUACUCACAGUCCUGACCUGCCUGCUUUCUUCCCCCCUCUCAUGUCCCCUUUGGAUUGCCCAGUGUGAUGCAUGGCAUUGUUGUGUGUCUGUCUAGGAGGGAAGGGGCGGUGGGUGGGAGAGAAGUCUGGCCUCCGUUGAUGUUCUCUGCAGUCGGCCUAGAUGGAUCUGGACUGGGGGAGCCUUUCUUUUCCCUUCUCCCUGCCUCUCAAGCCAGGUCCUAUAAGGGUCAGCCCAGGCUACAGAACAUCCACAGAAGCUCUGGAGCCUGCAGGUAGACAUAGGAUGAGAGUUCUUGCCUCCUUUCAUGAGAAACAAUCCUAAAGUCUUCAAUACCCUGGGGGAAGCUGGCUUUCAGUCUGUGUGAAAUAUCUUGGUUUGUAUUUUUCAGACAUAGGUCUCUGGGCUGCAGAGGGGUGAGGUCUCUGGGCUGCGGAGGGGUAAGGUUUUGGAGAGUAGGCUGGCCUCUAGCUCUUACAGGCCUCUUGGAGGAGUGUCAUACAUUUUCUCCAGUGGCUCCUGGCUUCUUUGCCAACUACAGGAACUUUCCUGCCAAAGCCAGUGACCUCCGGGACUGUUCAGAAGGACAGAGUUAGAUUCAGGAGUCACCACUGAGGUUUGAAUUGCUCAAGGGAAAGGCAGAGAAGAGUUCACUAGAGCUGCUAGUGAACUAGUAAUUUUCAACACAUUCUAGUAAUUCUCAACACAGUCUCCUUUUUAAGUUAAAAAAGUUUUUGCGUGAGCAGUUUUUUUCCCCAGAUAUUGGGAAAGCCUGGUGACAAAUUAAAUCCCCCUCACUAGGGUAUUAUUUUAUCUCAUCUUGAUGUCCAGAGUAGUCUUGGAAUCCUGUGGGGUCUAGCUCUUGACUGUUUACGCAUUUACUUGUGUCAUUUUAUUUUUUCUGCAAGAUUAAAUAGGAAUUGUUUAGAGUAGGGAUUCUUAGCCCCUUGGUGGCCCACGAUGGCAUACCUCCCCCAAUUUUGUAUACAAAAUAUAUGAAUAUACGUAUGUGCAUUUUUCUGAGAGGCAAGUCUAGAGUUCUCAUGAGAUUUUUAAAAGAGAGAGAGGACCCCGCACCUUAAAGUUAUCAAUCUGUCUCUUAGAGGUGACCAGUGAGAGCAAGUUAGCUAUUUGCCAGGGAUGUUUUUGUUUGGUAAUAGGAGACCUUUUGUUGUGCUUCUCAUCUAGGAGUCUUCAUUAGAAUCCCCUAUAGAACUUUUGAAACAUGCACAUGCCUGUGUUCACUCUAGGCUUAAUUCUGACUCAUUCUCUGGGAUUACGGUCUGGGCAUGCAUGUGUUUAAAUAGCUUCUCUGAUGAUUCUGAAUCAUACUCCAGGUUAGAACUCUAUUUUAUGUUGUUGGGUGGAGAAACAGUAGUUCCUUGGACCAAGCGUCAACCUGGGAAUUCUGAAUUCCUCAUGGUUUUGAAAGGACAGUUCCCUGGAGUUAGAUGUGUGAGCAGAUCACAGUAUUGAAUGAAGUUACCCCCUCAUUGUUACUUCAGGAAGCAACCUGUUCCGGCUUUAACACUUUACAUUGCAGGGUGAUGUGGAACAAAUCACUAUGUCAUAUAAACGUCCUAUGAUAAUAGCUGAGAAUUUUAAGCACCCUGGAGAGAGGUACUGAGAUAAAACUUGUGGGAUGAUAAAGGUUAUCAUCACAGGCAGCUGGCUUGUGACCUUGAGUCCUUUAUUGCUGCAUCCUGAGUAGGACAUCACAGCCAAUUUCAAAGGCCACUUGCCUAGAUUCUGCUCGAAAUUGCCUUCCAGACAUAAGGUAACUUCCUAUUCCUGUUUAGCCAUUAUAUAAUGUGUACCUAGUGUCCAUGUUUGUGGGGCUUUGGGCUGGGUGGAGUGGUGGUGGGAGAAGGAGACACCGAAGCAGGAGAAAAAGUCCUUGCCCUGAAAAAGGUUAUUUUAGAGAAAGAGCAUAUAAUUUAUAAUAAAUGAACAUUUGUGAAAGAGCAACACAUUGAGUCAGUAAAUGUGGAUGUCCAAAUGGAGUAGAGAUUCCUUCUGACUUUUCUCUUGUCCUACAUGUAUGAGACUAAAAGGGUUGGGAGUGGGAAUGUCCCCCAGAAUGAUGUGGUCUAGGAGGUUUGUGUGGCACUUUUACAAGGUUGUCUUGUCUAGCUUUGCUUGGCUGGUGGCAUCUUUAGCCCAAAUGGACAUUCAGUCUUUUCUCUUGCCGUGAGGUGAGAGUGAUUCAGAACUAAUGCAUGAGAAGGAGCAUUUUGAUCCAAGUUGUGACUUUGGGCUGUAUAUACUCCUAGCGAGAAGAGAAUUCUCUAACAAACUAGCAUUGUAUUACCUUGUUAUAAACCCCUGCAUUAGACACAGGGCACUGGGCUGUUCAUUUGGGCUCUCAGCCUGCUGAUAUUUUGCCAUUCUCCCCACGUGUUAGUUUGCUUCCCCAAGAAGAGGAGCAUGAGGUGGUCUUAUUAUUCUUAGAUUGGACAUGAGAAAUUAGAACUUGACAACAGCAAGGAUUUCAGCGUUGUUUGGUUUUUAGAGCAAGAUCCCUCCAGAGAAGUUUCAGCAGAAAGGAGUCAGGAGAGCAUAGAAUAGAAUAGAGCUCUCAUUCCACAUUUUAGAGAAGUCCUGUUCCCUAUCUUUUCUUUCCUGUCCUCCUCUCCCCUUCUUAUUUGAGUGUGUGUUGGUAGUAUAUACACCUUACUCUGAUUAUGUGUCUAUCACAAAUGCUAGUAAGAAAGGAUGAACUCCAGAGUACCUUUUGCUGAGGCUUUCAGCUGUGUUAUGGGAGAAAUAGGUGAAGGCUUUAGCAUUUAAUCUACUGGUAGAAAAUUAGGAAAGGAAAAAUCACUGUAUUAUCUUUGAUAAUCACUGAUUAUCUUUUUCCUGCUUUAAAACUAAAUGAGGAAUUCCGUGACAGAUAUGAAGAGGAAUCUAAAGCAGAUUUAGACAACUAGCUUCUUUUCCUAUCUCUUAAUCCUUAAAUUGGAAUUUGGCUCAUAUUUAUUAUCUGUAUUGUUUUUGCUCUUGUUUUGGUAAGGAGAUUGUUUUGCAUUCAGUUGGAAAGUAGAAUAAGAAAAUCUGUUACAAUCACGCAUUGUGCCAGGGGUCUGCCCCAUAUCCUUAACUCUGGUUUUUGAUUUUUUGUGUUUUUUUGUCCAUCCCCCACCUGCUCACUAACUCCCAAGAAGUUAGGGUUAGGAGCACAAGAUAUUUGUAUCCUAGACUGAACGGUUGAGUGUUUCCUGUGAGGAUCUGGGUGUUCCUCUUUGCAACCCACAUUUGAUCUUUAGAGACACUGACAUUUUGAAGAAACAUGAUACAGCUGUUUGGAAAUAAAUCCAUCUUAUGGUGUAUCUGUGAGUAGAAGAUCUGAGUACCAGAGAAACUCACUGAUGCUUGGGGUAGCCAAAGGACAAGGGGAAUAAGUGCCUAAUAAUUGAGGGAACUCUAUCUGGGUUGUAUAGUCUUACGCACAUUCCAUUGUCUUUGUUAAGCCCAGAGGCCAUGUUGUGUUUGUUUUCCAGAAAUUUGAUAACUUUACAUAGGUUUUCCGGUAUACAUUUUGACUUGUGUUUUAAAAUAUUUUAAUUUGAAUUAAAUAAUUUUAUUGGAAUUAAAUAUUUUAAUUUUAAUUUGAUUCACAAUUGAAUCAGGUUGCAACAUUGGCAGGAUUGAUCUCUGACUUCCAAUCGAGGUGACACAGACAUCAGAAGUAUGUCCAGGAAUUUAAUUUAGACUCAUCAUGUCUAGAACACUGUAUCUAGAAGUAUCUAUAUGCUGACUGCCUGACAGACUGUGGUAGGGUCCGCAUGCUGCCUGACAGAUUCUGGUAGGGUCCCUAUGCUGAGUAACCAACAGGCUCUACUAAGAUCUGUAAGCUGACAAGUCUGACUGUUUUCUAAUUGUACCAGUUGACACUGUAUGCAUGUUACUACAAUUCUCUGUCUAUUGUACAUGUCCUACAAAGAAAGGAAGUAACCACUCCACAUGUUUUCUUUAGGGGGAAGUUCUAUACACUAUGAUUUUUAAUAGAUACUUCUUUUAGAGUAGCAGCCAAAUUCUAAUCAUUUUGUAGAAAAUGAAGUUUGAACAUCACUUGUAAGUUAUUUUGUAAACUCAGCUAAGGAAAUGCCUGCUCAGAGCCUGACACUGUUACCUCUACUUGAAGUCAUCCUAUCCAUUCCCCCAUUUCUGGGCAGGACUUCCACUUUCUGAACUUUCUGUGUCCUCAGCUUCCCUGCUAUGGGCUGUAGCAUUCCAUUGGAUAAUGCUGCUGUUUUUAGUCCGCUACCCAUUUGCCUCUUAAUUAUAAUAUAAUCAAUAAAAAUGCAAAGGAAAUUUUGGCAAAAGUAUUCUUUUCAGUAAGGCUUUCACUGGGGAUCCAUGACCAAUUUUUACCUACUCAGUGUUUUUUAUAUCUGAAUUGCUUGUGUACAUUUUUUUUUUCUUGUGUUGAAGUAACAAAAUCAAUUCAUUCUGAUAUGGUGAUAGUUUUGCUGUGGCAAAAGCAAAGGACUUGUCACCAGCUGUGCCCUUUGGAAGGAUUGGGAGUGGGCUCAGCACCACUGGGUUAAAUGGAAUGGACUGAGUUGGGAACCGAAGCAGUAGAGCUAUCCUGCAUGUUUCCUAGGCACAGCUGUGUUGAAAGAAGGAAUGUUAAUCCUUAGCAGCAUUCUAAUUUAAUCUGGUGACAUUGAUGUCAAAAUAUGACACUCAGAUCCACAUAAGGCGGAGACCUCGCUGGCUGUGCAUAGGCUCUCCUCUCCGGCCUCCCCCACAUUGCUCUUCUGAUGAUGUGAAGGCUGAGGCCAGACCUCUCCGGGAGACUGGCCUACUGAAAAACUUGGCAUGUCAGCUCCAAAGGGGCUUGAGCAGGAAGUUCAGUGGGGAUUGGACAUUCGGGGCCACCCAAAUGAGCCCUGAAAAAGUUGCACCACAUUUCUUCCCCUCAUGCCUAAUGGGAAUAUCAGUUACACUGAAAAACUUGACUUCCCUGUGCCUCAAAACAUUUCACAGCCUGAACCAAUUUCGUUUUGAUCAUCUCUUUGUUAGGUUUGGCCCAAGUUGGUCAAUCCUGUUCCAUUUUGGCAUUUAACAUCUGACCUGUGACUGUAUCCCUAGCUGGCUUUCUUUGCCUAAUGUGCAAAUGUACCUCUUCAGAUUUAAUUGUUUCCAAGUGAGAGGGCUGAACUCCAGCAAACCAUUUCUGUGCUGUAAGAGCUGGUCUCUACAUCCACUCCAAGUGCGCAGGCUAGGGUACAAUAUGCAUAGCUUUGCGGUCACUUUUUUGUCACAUUGGAAACGAGACAAAUUCACCAGGUGAAUGGAGGGUAUCUGAGAAAUUCAGUCCCUAAAACGUCUCUUCUGCGGUGACGGAAGAGCGGCAUCAGUAGCAACCUUUUUGUUUAGAGAAGUUUUUCUUGUUUCAGGCCCCUUGAAGGCAGGAUCUGACUACAAGACUCCACAAAAUAUGUACCUUUCUUCUGAGUUCUCUUUUGUAGCUACUGUAUUUUCUACCUGAUACUGUGUGCCUCUCAAAGCUGAAGAGGGCUGACGUCAUCCUCUCUGGUGGUUGGAAAUGAGGGCUGGAGAGAAAAGUAGGGUGCCAUUUGGAUCACAUGAAGAAGUAAAAGAAGUUUCCUUGGGAAUCGACUCGCCCAAGGAGUUCUUUUGGUUUCAGAACAGGUGCAGGGAGACAUGCCCUUCUGUGGGGUCUGCUACCGUGAUACGGUCUCUGAGAAAGCUGUGGUUAUGACUUCAAGAGCAUCUGGUCUUCUAAUCCCUUCCUCUUAGCUAAUUGUCACUAUUGUGGUCUACUGGUCUCUCAUGUAGAACCUUGGGGGAAUGGGAUGGGGGGGAACCAAGCCCUCAAUGCAUUAAUCAUGUGGUUUCCCUUAAAGAUAAACCAGGUAAUUAUUCCUUAGAUCAGUGAUUGUCAAAUAUACAAAUAUGUCCCUGCAGAUGCGAUUUUAAUAUGUCACUGCUCUUGAAGGAAGGCAUGGAAGCUCCCAAGGAUACUGUAUCUUACAAGCAAAAUCCUUUUUUUUUUUUUAAA